GACGAACGCUGGCGGCGUGCUUAACACAUGCAAGUCGAACGGAAAGGCCCUGCUUUUGUGGGGUGCUCGAGUGGCGAACGGGUGAGUAACACGUGAGUAACCUGCCCUUGACUUUGGGAUAACUUCAGGAAACUGGGGCUAAUACCGGAUAGGAGCUCCUGCUGCAUGGUGGGGGCUGGAAAGUUUCGGCGGUUGGGGAUGGACUCGCGGCAUAUCAGCUUGUUGGUGGGGUAGUGGCUUACCAAGGCUUUGACGGGUAGCCGGCCUGAGAGGGUGACCGGCCACAUUGGGACUGAGAUACGGCCCAGACUCCUACGGGAGGCAGCAGUGGGGAAUAUUGCACAAUGGGCGGAAGCCUGAUGCAGCAACGCCGCGUGCGGGAUGACGGCCUUCGGGUUGUAAACCGCUUUCGCCUGUGACGAAGCGUGAGUGACGGUAAUGGGUAAAGAAGCACCGGCUAACUACGUG
rnacentral:rRNA from 1 species